UGCUUCUUGUGGUGUCAGGUCUCAUCUCUUAAGCCGGGCUGGCUUAAAGACUAGAAUUGCUGAUGGGAACACUCACACCUGGCUGCCUUAUGUGAUUUGGUUUCCUUACAGCUAGUGAUCUCAGGGUAGUCAGACUUUUUACCAGGUGGUUCAGGGUUCCAAGCAUGAGUGUUCUAGUGCACAAGGCUGGAUUGCCAAGCUUCAUUAUCAUGUCCACAGUGGUCUGUUGGUUGAAACAGUCACAAG
rnacentral:lncRNA from 1 species